UACGUAGGGUCCGAGCGUUAAUCGGAAUUACUGGGCGUAAAGCGUGCGCAGGCGGUCUUGUAAGCCAGAUGUGAAAGCCCCGGGCUCAACCUGGGAACUGCAUUUGUGACUGCAAGGCUGGAGUACGGCAGAGGGAGGUGGAAUUCCACGUGUAGCAGUGAAAUGCGUAGAGAUGUGGAGGAACACCGAUGGCGAAGGCAGCCUCCUGGGCUAGUACUGACGCUCAUGCACGAAAGCGUGGGGAGCAAACAGG
rnacentral:rRNA from 1 species